GAGUACUGAUACAUGGUACAACAUGGAUGAAACUCAAAAAUGUUACUCUAAGUGAAAGAAGUCUGAUGCAUUAGCCCAUAUAUGGUAUGAUUCCCUUUAUAUGAAAUGUACAGAAAAGGAAGAUCUCUGAAGCAGAUAUUAAAUUAUUGGUUGCAUGGGUCUGGUCUGAAAAUGGAUUAUCUGCAUAUAGGCACAAGAGAUCUCUCUGGGGUGGUGAAAAUGUUCUAAAACUAAAUUGUGAUUUUUUUUUCAUAACUUCAUAAACUUUAAAAAUAAUUGCUUUGUGCACUUAAAACAGGUGAAUUUUAUGUGUAUAAAUUAUGCUUUAAUAAAACUUCAGAAUCAGUUUGACAGGGCCCUUCUCUCUGACCUACUAGUGACACCAUCAUGAGUAAAGAGGGGGAGAAGCUGCUGUAUCCCCACUUCUUCCCUGUGUCCAGAGGUAUCUCUUCAGUCAUCUACCAUACCCUGCAGGUCUAGGGGCCUCAGGUAAGGAGCCAGCAGCUCACUGUAAGAACUAGGAAUCUAAAUGGACCAAUGCCCAGAUGUACCACUGCCACCAGAUCACUGCAGGGCGAGAUGCUUUUGAGGAUGCUGCAUCAGUCUUCCGUACACUCUUGCCAAGUUUAUGUUAGCUUGGGAGGACUGAAACAAUUCAGUUCAGUUCCAUGUACUGUGCCGGAUCUUGGUUUCUAAAUAUCAUUUUCCAAUAAAAAGAACCCAAGCUUCCUGGGAAGAAAGCUAGUUCUAAGGCUGGGGCAGGGAAAAUACAAAAUAAACCUGGAACAUCUUAUAGUACCAGAAAGUAAGCAAGUGCUCAAAAACAAAAGGAUAGGAGUGUGUCAAAGACACAGGAGCUCCCAAUGGCCAAUGCUGGGACAAUUUCAGCAACAAAGUAACACAGUGUGGAAUUACAACCCAAAGUAUAAAAUAUACAAGUUCAUACUGAUAUAAGUGAUUUAAUAACAUGGGUGAGAAGAGAUAAAUCUUCCUUACAGAAGAAUUCAAAUAUAUUAAUAUGAAGAGCCCUUCUGCACUACCCAGAGAGAGGUCCACAUGACGUUGUUCUGGGUUCCCAUCAUAACUUAAAGGGAAACUUUCACGACAUCCAGAACCCUUGCAUGUCCUGCACAUGAAGGAGGAUGUCCUCAAUUUCCUUGCAGCAGGAAAUCUGUUGGCACCAACUUUGACUUCCAAAUGAAAUAGUACAUCUACAAAAAGGAAAAGUGAUGGUGUCUAUUAUACAUCAUAAAUCUCCAGAGGACCUGGGAGAAACUUCUCCUAGUGGCUCAUACCAUCAUUGCCGUUGACAACCCAGCUGAUGUCAGUGUCACAUCCUCCAGGAAUACUGACCAGCAGGCUGUGCUGAAGUUUGCUGCCACUCCUAUGAAGUCCGAGCCACUACUAUUGCUGGACACUUCACUCCUGGAUCUGUCACUAACCAGAUCCAGGCAGCCUUCUGGAAGCUGCAUCUUCUGAAGGUUACUGAUGCCAAGGUUGAUCACCAGCCUCUCAGAGGAAUCUUAUGUUAACAUGCCUACCACCUCUUUGUGUAACAGAUUCUUCUCUGUGCUGUGGGGACAUUGUCUUCCAUGCAGUAACAAGGGAGCUCAUUCAGUAGGUCUGAUGUGGAUUCUGGCCCAGGAAGUUCUGUGCAGUCUCCAGUGAGCACCCAUGGGAAUUCAUGCCUGAUCUCUACUUCCAUGGAGAUCUCAAAGAGACUGAAAAGGCCAUAACCCAGGGUAAUUUCAGGUCAUCUUUGCAGGGGCAGGAACCACAGGAUUUUAGACAGUCACAUUCACUAUGGCCGCAUGGGGAGAAAGAGUCCACCUUCAAAGUCAACCAGACACUAACCUCUUUUCUCCUUAUUGGGCAUCCAGGACCUUUGGAAGAACAUUGAAUAUAAGUGGUGAAAGCAGACAUCCUUCCCUUCUUCCCAAUCUUAGAGUUCAUCUUGGACCAUGAGGAUAAGGGCCAUACCUAAAGGAUGGAAGAAAAGAAAGCUAGAAGCAGUCUGGGUCCCUGAGAACUGCAGAACCUGGAUUGCUUACAAUAGAUUUUCUUUUACAUGACAGAGAAAUAAAUGUCAUUCUGUUUUAUCCACUA